CUACGGGGCGCAGCAGUGGGGAAUAUUGCACAAUGGGGGAAACCCUGAUGCAGCGACGCCGCGUGAGUGGUGAAGUAUUUCGGUAUGUAAAGCUCUAUCAGCAAGGAAGAUAAUGACGGUACUUGACUAAGAAGCCCCGGCUAACUACGUGCCAGCAGCCGCGGUAAUACGUAGGGGGCAAGCGUUAUCCGGAUUUACUGGGUGUAAAGGGAGCGUAGACGGUCUGGCAAGUCAGAUGUGAAAGCCCGGGGCUCAACCCCGGGACUGCAUUUGAAACUGUCCGACUAGAGUGCAGGAGAGGUAAGUGGAAUUCCUAGUGUAGCGGUGAAAUGCGUAGAUAUUAGGAGGAACACCAGUGGCGAAGGCGGCUUACUGGACUGUAACUGACGUUGAGGCUCGAAAGCGUGGGGAGCAAACAGGAUUAGAUACCCGGGUAGUC
rnacentral:rRNA from 1 species